rnacentral:rRNA from 1 species
UAGAUGCGAGAGUAGAGCAUAUCAAUAAGCGGAGGAAAAGAAACUAACAAGGAUUCCCUUAGUAACGGCGAGUGAAGCGGGAAGAGCUCAAAUUUGAAAUCUUCAAGGUUUUACCUUGACGAAUUGUAGUUUAAAGAAGUGUUUUCUGUUGGAGUUUUGGUAAAAGUUCUUUGGAAUAGGACAUCAUAGAGGGUGAGAAUCCCGUAUUUGACCAUUAUUUCCAGCUGUGUGAUACACUUUCAAAGAGUCGGAUUGUUUGGGAAUGCAGUCCAAAAUGGGUGGUAAAUUUCAUCUAAAGCUAAAUAUUGGCGAGAGACCGAUAGCGAACAAGUACCGUGAGGGAAAGAUGAAAAGAACUUUGAAAAGAGAGUUAAACAGUACGUGAAAUUGUCAAAAGGGAAGCGUUUGACACCAGUGUUGUUUUCUCGAAAAUCAAUUAAAAAUGAUGGGAUUUUGUGUUGUAUUGACUUUAUCAGCUUUCUGCACUUUUUUCUUAUCUUUUUUAAUGCACUUUUCGUUUAACAAGUCAACAUCAAUUUCUUUUGUUGUAAAAGAGUCAUUGGAAGGUGGCUUUUCUUUCGGAAAAAGUGUUUAUAGCCUUUGGCUUCUGCAAUCGGAGAGAUUGAGGUCUGCAGCGUAGAUCCUUCGGGGUUAGAUACGUUUGUGCUAAGUUAUAGCUUUUCAUAGACAACUUGUUGACUAUGUUUAGUCUUGUAGCUUACUCGCUGACGCUAUUUUACCUACGCUUAGGAUGUUGACACACGCGCGUGCUCG